rnacentral:snRNA from 1 species
UUGCUUCAGCAGCACAUAUACUACAGUUGGAACGAUACAGAAAAGACUGGUAUGGCGCGUGCACAAGGAUGACAUGCAAAUUUGUGAAGGGUUCCAUAUUUUU